rnacentral:sRNA from 1 species
GGAAUGAAUCAAACCAGAUCAGAUCAAACUUCUUUCCCUGUCCCACAGGUGCCAUUGGUUGCGAAUAUUGAACAAAAAAAGGAACGCAUACAUACCAUUAAUACUAAUGACCUCUCUCAUUGUCUCAAGUCGCUUGCUUAGUCGAUUAAUGUACUUUAUGAGAUACCUGAUCUGUGUUUAUAUUUCUUUUAGAUGUGCAAUUUGUAAAACGUUUCGUGGUUUCCAGAGGCUCGAGAAAUGAUAUGUCGGGUAACGUCUGGAACUAAAAAAGAAAGGACGAUAUGCUCUGCUCUGGCACCAGCCAACAGGAUGGCAGAGAGAUGUGAGGAAAUAAUGAAAUUAAAAGAAAUUAUCGAAUAAAUAUGUAACCUGACAGUAUUUAUAGAUUAUGUAAGGGGUUUGAUAAUAAGUUUAUAAAAAUGUUUUUGUAUUAUUUGUUCUAGUUUACAAGUUUUAGUGCAUCUUUGAGGCUUUUAUGCUUCAUGUUGAAGUUGAGAUGGGCUGGAAGAUUCAAUGUCAUUAUUCUUGUUUCUGAAGUUUAGCGUAGCAGGAUCGAUUUCAUCGUGGUAUAGCUCGUUAAUUUCUUCUAGAGUCUUUCUCUUAGUUUCUGGGAUCAACAAGGUUGUGAAGAUACCCAACAACAUGAAUAAGGCGAAAAUUUCCAUGACGUGAGGUAACCAACAGUUGGUUGGCUUACCGUCUCUAGCACAGUUAUGGUCGAUUAGAGUACCCAAAGCGGUUUGUGCAAUAAUGGCACCGACCUUACCAGAUGCAGCAGAAAUACCAUGAGCAGUAGAUCUGUAACGAGUUGGGAAACACUCACCAGGAACAAUAAAGGUGGUUGUGUUUGGACCGAAGUUUUGGAAGAAUUGACAAAUGACGUAAAGAGCCAACAGACCAUGGUCACCAAGUUUAUGGUAUGCGAAACCGAUGACACAGAACAAAGCGGUCAAGAUGAUGAAACCGGCUAAUUGAAUUGGUUUUCUACCGAUUAUAUCGACAGUGAAGACGGAUACCCAGUAACCAGGUAAUGAACCAGCACAAAUCAAAAUCAGAUUACCGACAGCAGUAUCAUACAGUUUCUUGUAAACGUUUUUGGAACCGGCAUAACCGAUGGUUUGCAGAAUAACAGCACUGUUUAAACUCAACCCGUAGAAAGCAACAUCUAAGGUAAACCAUGAACCAGCAGUACCUAGCAAAAUCUUACCGUACUUCCAUUGACCAAAAUGUCUGCAGAAAUCUUUGAACGAAGCCUUUGGAGGAUGAUUGUCAAGAGAUUCGACGGCAGUAGAAGCUCUUUCCAAACCGUUAAUUGCCAUGUCUUCAUCACUGGUGUCGUGAAUUUUCUUUUCGCCAUCUUGUUCUUGUGCGGCAGCAGCAAGUUCCAACUUAGCGUUAACAUCCAAUUGAUAUCUAGGAGAUUCUGGAAUAGUUAAUCUGAAAUACAAACAUGCCAACCCUAGAACGGUACCCAACCCAAUAAGGAUUCUCCACAUUUGGUCACAAGCCUUUUGACAUCUAGCAUCACAUUCAGCACCAGAGUUUGCGUAUUCUAGUUCGCCCUUGUAAGCAGCAACCAAGAUAAGAGCGAUGAUACCACCGGAGAUUUGACCCCAAGCUUGGUUAGCAAAGACAGCACCCAUGAUGGCACCUCUCCAUUUGGUAGUGGCAAAUUCAGAAGUAAUAAUAGAAGAUAGUGGGUAGUCACCACCGAUACCAAUACCCAUGACAAUACGGUAGAAUGUUAAAACAGCAACGAAGUUAAUAGCAGGAGAAUGAGCAACAGUGGUUUGCAGAAUGGUACAGACAAUCAUGAUAAUAAGUUCCAUACCAUAAAUUCUCUUACGACCAACAAUAUCAGCUAAAGUACCAAAACCAAAUUGACCAAUAACAGUACCAACAGAAGUGGAAACCUUCAACAAGGUUUGACUUGGACCUGGCAUACUACCGUGCCAGUAAACGUAGGACAUCAUAGUGAUACCCAAAUUAAUGGCAAAAAUAUCAUAAGAAUCUGUCAAGAAACCAACACCAGCAAUGGAGAUGGUCUUAACUUGUUGCCAACCGAAACCUUCGUCAUCGAUGGACUCCAAAGCCAAUCUUCUUCUUUCCAGAGGAUCUUCAAUAUGAGCAAAAUCAUUCAAAUGGUUGUGGAAGGCCAUGUUACCACCUUCGGUAAGGUGUUCUUUAUGAAGACUUCUUUCAGCAACAUGAAUAGUAUCUUUAUUGACGGAACUCAUUUGGAUUGUAUUCGUGGAGUUUUGUUUGUUGUGUGCCCUGGUGAUCUACGAGAUGAGGAAAGAUAAAAUUUAGAAGUGAACUUAGAACUUUACUUUAUACAAGAGAUGAGGAUGAGCUUAUAUAUAUACGUAUACGAGCCACAAUAGUAAGUGGAUCUAAGUUGGCAUUACCGGUGUGCAAUGUGGUUGCAUCAUGCUGCCAAAAAGGAAUAAUAAUUAGCUCAUAGAUGAGGUCGGUUAAUUAAUGAGUAAUACGCACGUUUUUAAUCUAGCUAAUAAGCAGGCAAAACGGGAGAAGAGGGAUAAGGAAAGCCUUUCACACGACAUUUGGUGCAUAACUGCACCGAUCUCACUGAUUUCGAUGGACUGCGGCGAACCAUAAUCAAUUGCCGUCGCUAAUUUCCGCCCCACGUGCUGGAAAUAACACGUCCACGUGGAACUAUUAAAUUGGCAUCGGGCGGUGCGGCAGUGAGAGGAACGGGUGUUUUUCAGCCGGGCAACAUUUUCUUCAUAGCCGCUAGAUGAGUUGAAAGGGCCCUUACGAGCAAAUGCUGCACGUAUAGGGCGCCUAUAACAGCACCAACGUGCGUAAUACUGAUUGCUGUCAUUUCUUGGCAUGUUUUCUUGGUCAAGGUCUGUGAUCUCCCCUUCCGGUUGUGUCUUUUCAUAAUAAUAUGGUUUUUUUAUUCAUAAUUUGGUAAUAACGGUUGAUAAACGAGCGGCUGAUAAAUUAGUUUCUUUUUUUUUUUAAUUUUUUUUUUUUUUGAUCUCAUUUCUU